rnacentral:rRNA from 1 species
AGUGAACGCUGGCGGUAGGCCUAACACAUGCAAGUCGAACGGCAGCACAGAGGAGCUUGCUCCUUGGGUGGCGAGUGGCGGACGGGUGAGGGAUACAUCAGAAUCUACUCUGUCGUGGGGGAUAACGUAGGGAAACUUACGCUAAUACCGCAUACGACCUACGGGUGAAAGCAGGGGACCUUCGGGCCUUGCGCGAUUGAAUGAGCCGAUGUCGGAUUAGCUAGUUGGCGGGGUAAAGGCCCACUAAGGCGACGAUCCGUAGCUGGUCUGAGAGGAUGAUCAGCCACACUGGAACUGAGACACGGUCCAGACUCCUACGGGAGGCAGCAGUGGGGAAUAUUGGACAAUGGGCGCAAGCCUGAUCCAGCCAUACCGCGUGGGUGAAGAAGGCCUUCGGGUUGUAAAGCCCUUUUGUUGGGAAAGAAAUCCAGCUGGCUAAUACCCGGUUGGGAUGACGGUACCCAAAGAAUAAGCACCGGCUAACUUCGUGCCAGCCGCCGCGGUAA